rnacentral:rRNA from 1 species
AGAGUUUGAUCCUGGCUCAGAUUGAACGCUGGCGGAAUGCUUUACACAUGCAAGUCGAACGGUAGAGGGGGCAACCCCUUGAGAGUGGCGAACGGGUGAGUAAUAUAUCGGAACGUGCCCAGUCGUGGGGGAUAACGUAGUGAAAAUUACGCUAAUACCGCAUACGAUCUAAGGAUGAAAGCGGGGGAUCGCAAGACCUCGCGCGACUGGAGCGGCCGAUAUCAGAUUAGGUAGUUGGUAGGGUAAAGGCCUACCAAGCCAACGAUCUGUAGCUGGUCUGAGAGGACGACCAGCCACACUGGAACUGAGACACGGUCCAGACUCCUACGGGAGGCAGCAGUGGGGAAUUUUGGACAAUGGGCGAAAGCCUGAUCCAGCCAUUCCGCGUGCAGGAUGAAGGCCCUCGGGUUGUAAACUGCUUUUGUACAGAGCGAAGAGGUUUCUAUUAAUACUAGGAGCUCAUGACGGUACUGUAAGAAUAAGCACCGGCUAACUACGUGCCAGCAGCCGCGGUAAUACGUAGGGUGCAAGCGUUAAUCGGAAUUACUGGGCGUAAAGCGUGCGCAGGCGGUUAUAUAAGUCAGAUGUGAAAUCCCCGGGCUCAACCUGGGAACUGCAUUUGAGACUGUAUAGCUAGAGUACGGUAGAGGGGGAUGGAAUUCCGCGUGUAGCAGUGAGAUGCGUAGAUAUGCGGAGGAACACCGAUGGCGAAGGCAAUCCCCUGGACCUGUACUGACGCUCAUGCACGAAAGCGUGGGGAGCAAACAGGAUUAGAUACCCUGGUAGUCCACGCCCUAAACGAUGUCAACUGGUUGUUGGGUCUUAACUGACUCAGUAACGAAGCUAACGCGUGAAGUUGACCGCCUGGGGAGUACGG